rnacentral:misc_RNA from 1 species
CCGAGUUACAACUCCCAAACCCCUGUGAACAUACCUUUAUGUUGCCUCGGCGGAUCAGCCCGCGCCCCGUAAAACGGGACGGCCCGCCGCAGGAAACCCUAAACUCUGUUUUUAGUGGAACUUCUGAGUAUAAAAAACAAAUAAAUCA